rnacentral:rRNA from 1 species
CCUACGGGAGGCAGCAGUGGGGAAUAUUGGGCAAUGGAGGCAACUCUUACCCAGCAAUGCCGCGUGAAUGAAGAAGGUCUUCGGAUUGUAAAGCCCUUUAAUCGGGGACGAAAAAAAUGACGGUACGCAAGGAAUACGCCUCGGCUAACAACGUGCGAGCAGCCGCGGUAAUACGUAGGGGGCAAGCGUUGUUCGGAAUGACUGGGCGUAAGGGGUGUGUAGGCGGUGUAGCAAGUUAGAAGUGAAAUACCUAGAGCUUAACUCAGGUGCUGCUUCUAAAACUGCUAUACUUGAGUGCAGUAGAGGACAGUGGAAUUCCUGGGGUAGCGGUGGAAUGCGGAGAUAUUAGGAGGAACAUCAGUGGCGAAGGCGACUUUCUGGACUGUAACUGACGCUGAGGCACGAAAGUGUGGGGAGCAAACCGGAUUAGAUACCCUAGUAGUC